GCCCUGACUAAUAGCUCAGAUGGGAGAGCAUGAGACUCUGAAUCUCAAGGUUGUGGGUUUGAGCCCCACAUUGGGCA